GCCCCUAUCGUCUAGUGGCCUAGGACGUAGCCCUCUCAAGGCUAAAACACGGGUUCGACUCCCGUUAGGGGUA
rnacentral:tRNA from 1 species